rnacentral:precursor_RNA from 1 species
GGGUUAGCCCAUCUGGACCAGCUGCUCUUCAUCGUUUCAGGUUAGAUAUAGCUUUUUGAACUUCAGCUAGUGCUGGGGGGCCUACUUC